CGCAUCUGUGCAUGCAGCAUAUCAAUAAGCGGAGGAAAAGAAACUAACAAGGAUUCCCCUAGUAACGGCGAGUGAAGCGGGAAGAGCUCAAAUUUGAAAUCUUAAAGGGUUUCCCUUUACGAAUUGUAGUUUAGAGAAGUGUUUUCUGUUGAGGUUUUGGUAAAAGUUCUUUGGAAUAGGACAUCAUAGAGGGUGAGAAUCCCGUAUUUGACCUUUACUUUCAACUUUGUGAUACACUUUCAAAGAGUCGGAUUGUUUGGGAAUGCAGUCCAAAAUGGGUGGUAAAUUUCAUCUAAAGCUAAAUAUUGGCGAGAGACCGAUAGCGAACAAGUACCGUGAGGGAAAGAUGAAAAGAACUUUGAAAAGAGAGUUAAACAGUACGUGAAAUUGUCAAAAGGGAAGCGUUUGACACCAGUGUUGUUUUUCUGAAAAUCAAUUAAAGAACUGUUUAUGCUAAGCUGUUUAGACUUUAUCAGCUAACUGUUUAGUUUUGAGCUUUUCUUUAAUGCACUUUUCAGUUAACAAGUCAACAUCAAUUUCUUUUGCUGUAAAAAAGCUUGAGGAAGGUGGCUUGAGAUUCGUCUUAAGUGUUUAUAGCCUCUUGCCUAUGCAGUCGGAGAGAUUGAGGUCUGCAGCGUAGAUCCUUCGGGGCUAAAUGCAUUUGUGCUAAGUUAUAGCAUUUUAUAGACAACUUGUUGACUAUGAUUUGUCUUGUAGCUUACUCGCUUAUGUUAUUUUACCUACGCUUAGGAUGUUGAGUCGUAGAGCACGCAG
rnacentral:rRNA from 1 species